UACGUAGGGUGCGAGCGUUAAUCGGAAUUACUGGGCGUAAAGCGUGCGCAGGCGGUUUUGUAAGACAGAUGUGAAAUCCCGGGCUCACGUGGACUGUCGUUUGUGACUGCAAGACUUGAGUGUGGCAGGAGGGGGUGGAAUUCCACGUGUAGCAGUGAAAUGCGUAGAGAUGUGGAGGAACACCGAUGGCGAAGGCAGCCCCCGUGGGUCAACACUGACGCUCAUGCACGAAAGCGU
rnacentral:rRNA from 1 species